UAAUUGUCAUUCAUGGCAUGGUAUUCCUUUUACUGUAUACGACAGGUUGCUUAGAACAAUAUAGUGAAAUGCAAAAAAGAGUGUAAUCAGUCUGUCCUAGAUGGAGGCAAAACCAGAACAUGUUCUGGUUCUGUCCAUAUGUGAUCAUAUUUAACAUACGACAAGUUGCAUUGUUCUUGUUGCUAGAGCUUUCAAGAGGUGACACAGGCCCUGCAGCACUACAGAUUGUGCAACCGUCUUAGAUGGCCACUAUAGCUCAGGGCCUCAUUGGCAGUUCACAAAGAGCAAUAGCUUCUCAUCCAUUAGUGUUGCUGAAAGAGCAUGAACCUUGCCCGUCUUUUUUUUAGGCUUAAGGGUUAAGGCAGGCGCUCUCUCUGCCAUUCGAUUAGAUUAGUAAGCAAAAUUAUUUACAUGGGGAUCUGAAAGGAGAUCAGAGAAAAGAAAAGGCCGAGGCCAAGGGCCAGCAACAAAAGAUCACACAUACAGAGGUUUCUUCUCCUUUUAAGAUCGAUUGCCAGCUUCUUAGCUCUCUUAUAAUCUUGUGAACUGGUAAUAUCUCGCUCAACACCAAUAUUUUGUGUUGUCCAGUGUUCAGCAUUGCAGGGAAUAAUGAACUUGAGAAGGCUGAGCAGCAACCGGCAGUUAAAGCUCUCAAAGAUAGGCUGAUAACAAAGAUUAUUAUUGUUCCUUCAAUUUACUUGCUUCGUCUUUAGUAGCUUUACUAGCUCUUUAUUGUUUUGGUUGUUAAUAUGUUCUGUUAAAAAAUAUUGACCUUGUUUAUGCAGGUUAAAGAAAUUACUGAAAAAGCUUUGCAAAUCAUUAACAACUAGGCUUGACGCCAAAAGGGUAGGAUCCUUCACAAAAUAUCUCCUACUGGUUAGUGAGGUGAAGGAUGUGUUGUACUCUGAAGAAAUCGUCUUGGGGUCAACCACAUGCCAGACUCUGAUUGACGUUCAAAGUGGAGGACCUCCAGAACUAGGCCCAGCAAUUUGAAGUUGAAACCUAAGACCUCACUUCACCGAAAACAGCUUCAGCCCGGAGGAAGGCUGCGGGAUCAUCAGAAAUCCAAACGCAGUUAACAACUAACUCGACUCCAGUCGAUGAUGACAAUGUGAUAAACUACUACACCCUCAUGAAGGAAGUGUGACAGAAUCAUAACCAGGGACAUCCAGUUGGCAUCGCAAUCCAUUUUGCAAGCCAAAAAUGGCAGCUUAUGUGUGCUCAACUAUAAUACUGAGGUUGGUGUGCUGUUAUAUGAAUGUCUACUACCUUAAUAGAGUUUGUGAGAGUUUAUAACGUCUUGACAUUGUAUAAUCCUUAAUGGUUGUAAAGAGUUGUGUGUACUCAGAAA